rfam:Culex pipiens quinquefasciatus supercont3.411 genomic scaffold, whole genome shotgun sequence.
GCAGCCGUGACUCUCUGGUUACGGUGUUCGCUUUGUAAGCGAAUGAUCCUGGGUUCGAUUCCCAUCUGCUCCA